AUAACACUCUAUUCUUGUCCUUUGCUUUUGUCUCUGUCUUUCUUUGAACAUUCGUCUUAAUCUAAAAUUUGUUGUGAGGCCCCCAAAAUAGGUAUACAACACCCAUUCUGAGUUUCCAAAUACAUAGUACAGAAAGCAAACUACAACUUCAAUAAUACAAAUUGUCGUGCAAAAUACGACAACACAUACUCUGAGUUUAAAUACAAAUAUUGUCUUCUAGACAAUAUCCACACUCAAAUAAGUCCUCAUUACAAUUAUUCAUACACUGUUUUACAGAAAUAGUGAGGACUGCUAAAAUAUCUUUCUAGAACCAUCACUCCAUACCUCGACUAGAUCCUGCUAUGUUCUCACCUCCUGAGAAGAAAAAUGGAACAAAAAGGAAAAGGGUGAGCUCAACUAGCCCAGUAAAGAAUAUUAUGACUAAGAUAAUAUACAACAAAUUAUCAUUAGUCUUCAACAGAAAAAUCCAUCAUCAAUAUUUUAUCCCUGUAACAACAAUUAAUUUACAUCUUUAAUCAAAUAAUCAUCUUUGCACUACUGGCCAAAGAUAUUUAUUUGUAUCACCAGUCGGUCAUGUCCAUCUCAAUACUUGUUCAUCUUUGCACUACAGGCCAAAGAUAUUCAUCAGUUAAUCAUUCAUCUUUGCACUACAGGCCAAAGAUAUUCAGUAAUAUCAUCAUUUAAGACUGAGGAUGAUGAAAAAUAUUUUAAAGAAAAUGAAUCCAGUGAGAUAGAAUGACAAAUAUUAGGGAUUCGUAUUACAGUUUAUCUAAGAUCAAUAAUACUUCAUAAUAACCACUUGUGAAGUAGAAUUCAAAAAUAAAGAUCAAAACAUAGAUACAAUCAAAGAUAGUAACCAUAAUAGACAUCUUGGAUGAAAAGGAAAAAUUUUAUUUUUUAGUGAAUAGUGCCGUAUUCAUGAAUAGUGCCGUAUACGUAAGUAGUACCGUAUACGUCAAUAGUAACAUCGACACAAAAAGGUAGAAAUUCCACAAUAAAAUCUAUACCAAUAUUUCGAUAUAAUGAUAUUGAAAGAAUAACAUCAUUACGGAAAAAAAAUAACAUCCCUUACCUCAAAGAAACAAUACUUAGGAAUGUAAUUUCGGAUAUGAUGCUGAAGGAAACUUGCACUGAAUAGCAACUCUCAAAGUAUCUAAAUACUCACAAAAUACGCUCGAUAAUAUAGAGAGAAAGAAAACUUAUUUCUGGUGUGAUUUUUAAUUCUAACUUAGGCCUCUAUUUAUAGAAAAAUGUUAGCACGCCGAAGCAGACUUGACCUGCUACCUGAUGGCUUUACCUGCUACUAUUGCCACCCACCGCAUUUGAAAUUCAAUUUGAGAACAUUUCUCACCAACCAAAAGUGGGCCCCACCGAUUCUAGAAUUUUCCACCAAAAUGAUAAAUUCAAAAACUUCAACAAUUUCUGAAUCAGUCACCUCUUAAAAUUCAUAACAAAUCAUACGUUCAUUUUUAAAGGUUCAAAAUUUGUGGACAUAUACUCAACUUAUAUAUGUAUAACAUAUCCAAAAAUCACAACGAUCCAACGGUCGGAUUAAAAAUUAUAACUCACGCAAUAUAUCGUAAGAACACUGGUUUGAUCUUUUAAUACCUCCAAUCUGACAAAAUACUGAUAAAACACCUCAACAUUAAUUCCUUCAUUUAUAACCACAUAAAUAAAUCCAUCAUUUAUAUCCACAUCAAAUAAAUAUUUCUUUAUCAUAUAAAUCAAUAAUUAAUUAUUCACAAAUAAUAUUACAGAAUCACAAUUAUGACAACCAGGCCGUUCCCAGGAAAGAGGGGGCUUUCCGAUAAGAAUUUCUCCUUACUGGCGCGCAAUUAGGUGACCAAACCUCUCCUUGACAGAACUUUCUAGACAUUGCCAAUAAUGCUAUCUAAUAAUAUUAUUCAAAUAAUAUGAAUUAUUGAUCUGAUAAUGGGAAAUACUGUGCAGUGAUAAUUAUUGAAACAACAAUAAUAUAAACUAUUAAUGCAGCAAUUAUUGAAUUAAUAAAAUAAAAUAUUGAACAGUAACUACUGUAACAAUUAUUGAGUAGUGCCUUCUUACGUAAAGAUCAAUAAUUCCAAAAAUAUUGUGCAAUACCGUGUGCUACUGUGCAACCACGCGUAUUACUGUAUUUUAACCACCAGGUAUUCCAACAGUGUUAACGGUAACAAUUACACUGUUAUUUAUAAAAACUCAUACUUUGUCAUUUUCUUUCAUCCAACCGUUUUUCGUUAUGGGGCCCACAAAUGGUUGCGCGUCGUACGAAUAUUCCCCGACAAAAAGAAUAUUCCACGACCAAACGAAUAUUCCCCGACAAAAAUGAAUAUUUUACAACCACUUGCUUAUUUUGUAAAAUUUUGACAUUUCACCCAUAACCAAAGCAUUAUAUCAAAUUAACACCUUAUUAAUUUAGAAUAAUGAAUAGAGGAAAAUUCAAUUUUAUUUAUAAUAAGUUGGGGCCUUACAUUUGUUAUUAUGAUAUAGCAAGAGUGAGCAACUACUUUGCUCAACAAGUUUAAAUACAAUAAAGAUAUAUCAUGAUUGAAAGAAAGAAUAAGCUUUCGAAUUUUUAACAAUAUAAUAAUUGUGAAAGAGCAUGGAUCAAAAUUUAAAUAAUUGAAUGAUUGAAUCAAUAGUGUUCGUUGGUCAACAAUGACCAUGAACAAUUUUAACUGAACCUUAUGGUAAUGAAGGUGAUCAACCUUUCAUACCUGAUGAAGAUAUGCAACAUGCACUAAGUGCGAAUCAAUAAUCAAAGAUGUGGAAUAAUUGUCAAUAAUUAAUCCACUAGCAUACUUGAAACAUAAUAACCCGAGUUUGAGUUAAUUAAGAAAAACUUACAUUGUCUGUCGAUUACUGAUACGUAAUCUAACUUAAUCUCUUAUAGAAGACCUAUCAUUAAUAAGAUUGAUCUUUCAAUCAGCAUAUCAUAUCUUAUCUCAGAAUACAACUAUUCUUAAAAUAAAUUAUCUAACACUUAGCCAAAUAGUCAAACAUUAGAUAAAUCCUUAACUUAAUAAUAUUAUCGUCUUUUGAUAAUAUUUUAAAUCACUUUAAUUCAUCAUCUUAAAACUUCUAUAUAAUAUUAUUAAUCACUCAAUAAUAUUUUAUUUAUUUAAUAAUAAUCACUUCAUAAUAUCUUAAUUAUUUCUAAAUAUUAUUAACCAUUUAAUAAUAUUUUAUUCAUUUACAAAUAUUAUUAAUCAUUUAAUUGUAUUCAACUCACUUCUUAAUAUUAUUAAACAUUUAAUAAUAUGUAACUCAUUAUCUAAUAUUAUUAAUCAUUUAAUAAUAUUUUAAUUUAACAUUAAUCUAAUAUUAUUAAUCAUUUAAUAAUAUUUUAAUUUAACUUUAAUAUAAUAUUAUUACUCAUUUAAUAUUAUUUUAAUCUAACAUUAAUCUAAUAUUAUUAAUUAUUUAAUAAUAUUUUAAUCUAACAUUAAUCUAAUAUUAUUAAUCAUUUAAUAACAUUUUAAUUUAUGUUUAAUAUAAUAUUAUUAAUCAUUUAAUAAUAUUUUAAUUUAACUUUUAUAUAAUAUUAUUAAUCGUUUAAUAAUAUUUUAAUCAAAAUAUUAUUAAUUACAUAAUAAUAUAUUAAUAUAAUAUUAUUAAUCUUUUAAUAAAAUUUUAAUCAUUUAUUAAACUUAUAAAUAAUUAAUUUUAAUUGUUUACCCUUUACUAAUUCAUUUAUUUAAUGAUCAUAAAAUGUCAUAAAUAUAACAUCUUAUCAAAAAUGACCAAAAUACCCUCCAAAAAUCUGAUUACAUCAUAUAUAGGGUCUUCAAGUCAUAAAAUCACAUUUUCACUAUUUUUAAUAUCACAUAGCCUAUUUUUCUCAUUUAUUGAUAACUGAAACAUCUCCAAAACUUUUUCUUUUCUGAGAAAUAUCAUUAUAUUGUUCCCUUAUGAAUAUAUAUUUUUUCUGAAAAUUUCCAAUUUCAUUUACUAAUUUUAAAAUGCCCAAAAUAGUCAGAUCUUGUAACAUUUUUAAUAAAUCGAAAUUUUGUCCAAUUUUUUUGAAAUUUAUGAGGUAAACUCAUCUCAUUAAGCAAUGAUCCCGGUAAAACUUUCACAUUUUUUUGGGUUGUACAUUUCAAGUUAUAACAGUUUACUUUAAAAAUCACACUUUCUUGUAAAAGCUAGAUCUCCACUUUUGGAUAGCCAAAAAUUCCCAUCUUUGGACAUGACUUAGUUAACUUGUUAUACUAUCUUACCACAAAAGGCUAGAAUUUUUAGAGCCACCUAAGUGGCUGAAACAGCCUUUUCAAAAACAUGGUCAGGAAACUUUUCUAUUUUCCAGAUUUUUGUUGUUGUUUGGACAGUUUUGGGAAAACGCAUGCCACGACUUGCUCAUUUAAUAUUUUUGAGUGAUACCACUUGGGUUUAAUAGAUAACUCAUGUAUCUAACAUACCUCUUUGAGAUCACAAAAACAAGUUGUAAAUUUCAAAUGUUAAUGCCUCAAAGUGGGCUGAUUUUUAGGGUAUUUAUGGUCAAAAAUCAGUUUUUGUGAAUAUUUGGUUUUCAAACUUUGAUCUACGCAUGAAACAUCAUAAAACAUGUAGAUGUAGUACUUUCAUGCUCAAGAUCAUAAAUUUCAUGGUUCAAAACAACCAAAAGUCAAAUACAUAAACUACUUAAGAUUUUAUACCUUUUGUGUUUUAUCCCUCUUGAUUUCCUCUUUUCCUUUUUUAUUCCAUGGCCACCUCUCUCUUUCUUUGCUCUACCAUGGCUAAACUCCUCUUUCUCCUUUCCUUUUCUUGGUCGGGUGGUUGAGAGAAAAUGAGAGAGAAUGCUUUUAUUUUCUUCUUUUCUUUUUCCAUUUGGUUAAAAUCAUUUAGGAGAGUGUGUAGAUAAGAUAAAAUAAGAGGGGGAUUAGGUGGCACCCUUGUACUGGAAAUCUGGCUGAUAUCUAUAUUAUAGGACCCGUUUUUAAUUUCUCGUUUUGCGUAUUUAAUACCAUCUUUGACUUUCGGACCCGAAAAACCAAAUUUUCGAGUUUAUAGUUGAUUCCUACUAAAUUCGACGCUCCCAACGUCAUGGGUAAAUCUGUUUCUUCAAAUUCAUCUCUGAAUUUCAAGUUUGACUUUUCUCUGGAAAAGUCAACUGUUAACUUUGACCAAAAAAUCAACUCGGACACAUUUUGUGUUUAGAGUCUAUUCUUACUAAUUUCGACGUUCAGGACUCAAAUAUCUCAUCUGCGUCUUCAAAUUCCACUCCUAACUUUGAUUUUGACUUUUUCUCCAUUUUGCUUGUAAACUUGGUUAAAGUAGGUGGCUAAAUGAAAAGAUGACGCACAAGGGUACUUGGUGAACAACUAAAGUAAAAAAAUAAAAUUUAACCCACAUAUUCUUAUAUAAAAGCUAUUUUCAAUUUCUUAUAAGUUGGUCACCCAACUUAAGUCUUCUUUAGUCUUCCCCCUCGUCUGUAAAAGCUUGGAAAUCACCCCUGACAUAUUCUUAGCGUAUUGUUUGAAUAUUCUUUAUUCCUUAAGAUAUUUUCUAAGUUUCAAAUAUUAAGUUUUCAUCCCUAAGAUUUUCCAACUUUAUAAGAAUUCAAGACCGAGGGCAAAAUGGUCUUUAACCAUUACUAGGAAAGGGCAAGAUGGUCUUUAAGUCAUCUCAAGAAAAUUUCCUAGAAAUUUUCUCAUAGGACAUAUUGGUCAUAAUCAAUUUUCUUUAAGGACAAAAUUGUCAUCUAACUAUAAUUAGGAAAUUUCCAAGAGAUUUCCUCUAAGAACGCCAUGAUCAUUACCAAAUUUCUAUUGGAGAAAAAUAGUCACGUCCCUAUUACUAGGAAACUUCAUAGCAAUUUUCUUCCUAGGGCACAAAAGUCAUUAACACUUUUCUUUUGGGAAAUAAAGUCAUUUCCCACAAUUUCCUACAUUUAACUCAAGUAUGGUUAGUUCCUAACCAUAGUUAUUCUACUUACACAUGUCCCAUUAUUAGUUGGACUAAGACUUGGGCUUUCACUUAGUUGUUUGGGCUCUCUAAUUAAAAUAAUUGGGCCAAGUGAAUUUGCAUGGUCCAAUGCCUUAAUUCUAUCUUACCCUAAUUAUUUAAUUAGGGUUUCCAUUCCACUCCUUUGUAAUUUAAAUAAUUACUCAUGUACAUAAAAAUUUAUAAUCCAAUUAAACUUUCUUUUUUUUUAUUUCUCAUUAUAUAAUAUAUAUAUGGGAAAAAUGUAUGUUCACAGCUGUGUAGUAUAGAGUCGGCUAUGAAGAUGAUUUUUUGGGCAAUAGCGACGGUUUCACCCAACCGUUGCCGUAGAUAUUAUGGGCUACGGCGACGGGUGAACCGUCGCCAUAACCCAAAAAACCCGUCGUCGUAGCCCGAUUGUGUAAUACACAGCUGUGUAUAUACAUAUAGCCCAAUAUAUAUAUAUAUAUAUAUAUAUAUAUAUAUAUAUAUAUAUAUAUAUAAUCACAUACAUAUUCCACACAAGUCACAAAGUAUUUAAUACAUGGAUAAAUAAUUAAUGUGACCUAAUAUUCUUGUAUGAUUAAUUUAAUUAAUCAUUUCUCUUGCUAAAAUAUAUAUAGCACAUCAAUAAGUAUAUAUGUACCUAUACAUAUACACAUUCACUUUAUUCUUAUAAUAUCUCUUCAUUUGAAAUUUAUUUCAUUAAUAACUUUUCCUCAUACAUUAUUACAUAAUCUCUUUUACUAUUUAAUUCACAUAAAUUUAAAGCUAUCAUAAUACCGUAUUCUUAAUAUACUUCAAGGGUACAUAUAAAUCCAUUCUAAGGUUUUUGACUUUCGUAAUCCAUAUUUUCUCACUUUUACUCUUUAUCUUUUCAUUUCUUUCAUUCACAUUUAAUUUCUUUACAUUGCUUAAAAAUUUCAAACCAUAUAGGUUUUUCUCAAUUUUUUUUUAUUCCUCUACUUUAAGUCUAGGUUUUAUUCUUUAACCUUUAAUUUAAUUGUUCAAGAUCUUAUAAAUUUUCGGGUUAUCACAUUUUCAGUCAGAAUUCUUCAAUUGCAAUAUUUGUGGGUUCUGCUUUAUUUUAUUUAUGUAUUUUACAUGGUUUCCCAAUAUUAAAAUAAACUAAGCAACAUUUACUUAAUUUACUACUAAUAAAAUAAAAUGAAAUGAACUAAAUAGCAUUUACUUAGUUUUGUAUUACUAAACAAAAUAAAAUAAUAUAAUGACAUACACUAAAUAUAAAUAUUUUAAUAUAUGUUAAGUGUAGACACUCGAAAUUUUCUGCACUCCUAUUACUAACAUUGCAGGAGGGUAGAUUCGUCUUUUGGAGAUAACCCUGAAAGAUAGCUUACAACAAAUCUAGAUACUACCGGAAGUUUUGCUCCAACCCGGAACACAAAUCGGGAGCAUUGGUUCUGAACCCGGAACACACAUCGGGCCCGUCAUUUCCAAUCUCGGAGAUAACCCUGAGAUGUGCAGAUCAAAAGACCGACAACAACACCGGAGAGGACAGUCCUGUCUCGGCGAUAACACCGCGAAGUUCAGUUCCAGUCCCAGAGACAACACUGGGAAUAGCCGUCCCAUCCUUAGUGAUAACCCCAAGAGAUGAUCGUCGCAGUUCUGGCGAUAACUCCGGAAUUGCUUGUUUCAACCACAUGUGAACAGCUUCAAUCCUGGAUGACAGUGACGCACACAAACAAGCAGUCCAAUCUCAGCUGUAACCCUGAGCAACGUUUGCUUUCCGUUUAAACCGGCGAUAACCCCGGUGAGGAGUCACCAACGUCAUCUCACAACGUCAACAAGAUGAUAUAGCAGCAUACCACCAAGUGGUCCAAUCUCAGCUGUAACCCUGAGCAACGUCUACUUUCAACUCAACCCAGCAAUAACUCCGGCAAAGAGUCAAACAUCAUCUUGUUCGUCCAACAAAUGGCACGUCGUCUCAACAUUUCAGACAUACAUACAUCCAACAAUGUCCCGAAUAACCGAAGAAUGACAAUCCCGAGUGACUAUUACAUGUGACAGUACUUUGGAUAGAAUUUGAAGCUUGAAGACCAUGGGUAUAGACCCCUCUUCCUGACUUCGUACAACCACUAAUCCAUGUCAUUACGUAACUCUCGACACCAGCAGUCCGAAGAAGUACAGACACGCUUCGUUUGGAUGUUAGGAUUGAAAUUCUGCAAGUUUGAUUGGACAUUACAGUACGCGAGUGCACGUACUACGAGACGACGGGACCCGCGAAGCCUGGGCCCACCACAACCAGCCGCAGGUAGACCUGCGGUUGCCGUAGGUAGACCCGCGGCCAUCCGUCUAUAAAUAUAGAGGGGGGGUCAGCCAUUUGAGAGGAGGAGAGAGAAAAAGGAGAGGAAGCCCUGUCCAUUUAGCUCUGCAUACACAUCUUUUGAGUGUUUCCUUUUCUUUAAACACUAGUUAGCUCCUAUAUAGCUACUUUUUGUCCGGCGGGAGCUGAGUGUUCAUCCACUUGCAGUCCAAGAAGUCUACUUUGGCAGUCCACUGUAAGCCUUCAUGUGUUCUAUAAAACUUCUUUCUUUCAUUAUUACACACUGUUGCACACAUUGAGAGUCGUGUGAGUGUGUUUGCCCAGACUUAUGUCCGUGGUUUUCAUUUCUGUCUUUAUAUAUAUACUAAUAUAUGUAUAUAUUGCUUAUAUAUGGACUAACAUUAUCGAGUUAUGCCUCGAUUAAGCCUAGACUUCGGUCUAGAGCGUUUAUUUGCUUUCGUAUAUAUAUAUAUAUAUAUAUAUAUAUAUAUAUAUAUAUAUAUAUAUAUAUAUAUAUAUAUAUAUAUAUAUAUAUAUAUAUAUAUAUAUAUAUUACAGCUUAUAUAUAUAUAUAGCUGCUUACUGCUUUCCAUAUCAAUUGUAGUAUCGUGUGAGCCUAGGAAUCAUGUGAUCUUACAAAUUCAGAAUGAUGAAUCUAGAUUCGGUUCCCAUGAUGGACGUUUUUCAGCUGUAAGCAGCUUGUACAUUAUUUUACAGUGUCCGAGUUUCCUUGGAUGGCUGUCAUGCCCGUGAGGAAUUCGGCACUGCUGUAUAUUGUUUUCUCGCAGAUGCUUCGCAUCUCAAAAAUAAAAGCAAACAAGCCGGACACAUAGUAAUAAAAAUAGAAGUAUCAAAGGCCUCAAUUACUAUUGAGCAUGGGGUUUGAAAAACCUUUUUUCUAUAAAACGUCAUUGCUAUAUCCUGUUUAAAACAGAAUUUUUCUAUAAAUUCAAACCUUAUGUAUAUAGGUGCGAACGAGGCAUAACACUACUUUCAAAUAAUUGCACAUUAAUCCACACACACACGCAUUCAUAUAACAGUUUCUUUGAAGAGUGGCGGUCACCGAGGCAACACGGAUAUCGGGGGGUGCCUAACACCUUCCCUCUGAAUAAUCAAGCCCCCGAACCCUCAAUGAAUCUCAGUUUCACCGACCCGUUUAGCAGUGCCAAAUCACUGGGUCAAUGUGCAAACCUUUUCGGUUGCGUUGGUGCAACCAGUUAAAAACACCAACUGGCGACUCUUAAAGUCAAAUCGUCGACAUUAUACACGUCGGACCUUUUUUCACUUGGUUUUUCAAACAAAUCUCACAUUAACAUGAGAACACCAAAAAAUAAGUAACGAAAAGGGAUAGUAAAAAACCCGACGUCGACAGGUGGCGACUCUGCUGGGGACUCCAGUAAGAGGGCUUAAGCCGCUAUUACAAGCUUUUCAUAAUUGUUAUAUGCUUGUGUGUGAUUGUUGCAUUUACAUUUCUGAUAAAUGUGUACGAAUGCAUCUUACUUACUACACUGCAAAAUAUCUGUCUGUGAUAUUAGUGUUUCGCACAUAUUAGUGCUUUGCACAUGUCAUCAUUCUGCAUGAACGGUGAGACACGUUGUAUGUGAAUGUAUGUUGUGUGGUCCCUCCGUUAGGAGGCUAUCCUGUCGGUGUUUGAUUACUGGACUCGUGGGAAGAAUAAUUCCCCGGGGCUUAGGAAAGGCACCACCCAGAUUUCCUCCAGUUGAAAGACCGAAUUAACUUCCCGUUGAGUAGAUUACGAUGAUCUGGGAACCUCCAUUGCCAAAAAGCUGCGAGAGAAACCCUAUGAUAGGUCAACCUCUGAUAAACCAAACGCGGAGGGAAGUCUCUUCAUGCUUUCCAUUUUCAAAUUACAUGUAAAAGCAUUUUCUUGUAAUUUUAUUCCAGGUUCAUCCAUAUGUAAUGGAAAUAUGAAGAUACAUAUGCAUAACAUGUUAUCAAUUAACUAAACCGGUUUUACAGGAUAAAAUUCCUAGAACGGACAUGUUAUGAUAGCAUUCACAUUUUCAUAAAACUAAACUAUGUAAAUCUUUUUGUAGGGAAGCAAUUGGGUCAAUUACCCCAAGUCUAAAAAAGCAUCCAGCCUACAGACAAUCAUGUCUUCCUCUGAACAGCAUAAUCCUGUCUCCCGAGAAGAAUUCGACGGAUUAAGCAGACAAAUUACAAACUUGGGUGUCCUACUAAGAGAGUUGCACCAGUCUACUCAGGGUCCGAAAAUGCCCACACAUACAGAAUCCUCUGCACAAGGAGGAGUCCAGAAUCUGGAAAAAAAAAAUUCGGAUCAUCAGCUAGAUACCAUCCCUAAAGACCCUGAAACCACCCAUCUCAAAGCAGAUCUAGACACCGGUGAUAUCAGGAAGAAGGUUCUUCAAAUGGAGGAAACCAUUCGCACUCUUAAAGGGAUUGGAACACAUGGCAGUGUCUCUUAUACAGACCUUUGUAUAUUUCCUGGUGCGCAUUAACCAGAGAAAUUCAAGACCCCUGAUUUUGAGAAAUACGACGGAUUAGGGGAUCCUUACACGCAUUUAAAGGUGUUUAUUGGAGAGCUCGGGUCUUAUGCUGAAAAUGAAAAGCUCAAAAUGCAGCUGUUUCAGAAGAGUCUGACUGGAAAAGCCCGUUCAUGGUAUACCAGGCUAGACAACUCUAAGAUCCAUAGCUGGGAAGAGUUAGCCCACGCCUUCCUUACCCAAUACAGUUUUUAGUCUCAGAUGGCUCCUGACCGGUACCAGAUUACCAAGGUCAAGAAAUAGUCUAAUGAGUCAUUUAGAGAGUAUGCUCAGAGGUGGAGGCGCCUUGCUGCUCAAGUUAUUCCUGCCAUGACAGAAUCAGAGAUGGUUAUGACCUUCAUAGAUAUACAGAAGCCUCUUUCUAUGAAAGAGUCCUAGCUGGCAUUGGCAAGUCAUUUUCUGAAAUGAUUAAACACGGUGAGAUAGCUGAAAUGGGAUUGAUGUCUGGUAAAAUUCAAGACCUAGCCGCUCUUAAGGCUGUUGCUGAACACAUCCAAUCCGGAUCUUAUAGAAACAACCCCCGGAGGGUCCACAAGAAGAAAGAAGAGGAUGUUUCCUUGGUACUGCAAGGACAAAAAGACAAGUCAAGUGCGCCUAUGCAGAGGAAAAACUACUCCUCUUUUACAGCACAACCUUCAAACCCUCCAUUGCCCAAAAGUGGAGAAGUAAAGCGAUUUCGAACGUUCACACCCUUAGGGGAUUCGCUCGAAAAUAUUCUUGCUCUUCUGACUACUCAGAAGAAAAUUACACAUCUUCUUCCACCAGCCAACCCUAUUGGUAGGGGUUUCAAUGCUAAUCGGAAAUGUGCAUAUCAUGCUGGGGCACCCGGGCAUGAUACUCAAGAUUGUUGGUCCUUGAAGCAUAAGAUUCAAGAUCUGAUCGACAAUGGUGAGAUCGUAGUCACCAAACCAGAUCAACCCCACGUACAAGACAACCCUCUCCCACAACACAAAGAGGAAGAGGUCCACAUGAUCAGUUGGAACACUGGACAUGGCUCCAAUUCUACUGGUGAAUCAUCCCAACCCAUCAAAGACGGUGUUGACAAAUGGGAUUAUGCCAAGUUCCAAUUCACCAUGGAACAAAAGAUGAAGAAUCUUCACAAAAUAGUUGAGCAAUUUGCAGAACUGGUGACACACCAACAUCAAGCCAUACGCCAACUAAUCAGGCAGGAACAUGCCUAUCUCCUUCCAUUUAUUGUGAAUGCUUCGUCAAUACCUUCAGAAAGCGAAGCUACGGAGGAUAAGGUUGCAAAGCGAACAAGUGCUAAAGCCCGUCGGGAUUUUGCUGAUAGAAGAGAAUUCACCUAUCUGGGCCAAUCUAUGGAGGAGAUACUGCAAAUGUUGAUCAAUAAAGAAAGGAUCACAUUCCUUCUCCCUCCAAUCAAUCCCCGUUCAGGGCAGUUUAAUCCUGACGAAAUGUGUCAAUACCAUUCACAUUCCCGCGGACACAGCACUGAAGAAUGCUGGGCACUCCGCCAUCUUAUUCAAAAUCUUAUUGAUAGCGGUGUUCUGCAAGUGGCAGAUGAUUACACUGUGCGAUUUAAGGAUGGGAAUGCACGUCCUACUCAAUGAAAGGGAUCAAUAGCCGUCAUAUCCGAAGAAGGUGACGAGACUAUCAAAGCAUUUCCUAUACAACCAGUUCAACUCAAAGGAGUUUACAAUCCUUUGAAAGUGGCUGCACCAGAGCCCAUUCUCUUGCCUUGCAGAAUACAACAUCCUGUUGUCAGCUUACACAGAGUGCCAUGGAACUAUGGAGAAGCUGAAGGAUCUACGUCUCAUACUACUGAUGUAGUAACAAAAGAGAAUCCACUAUAUCUUCCUCAACGGGUUAUCAAACCUUCUUGCGAAGCAAAGGGGAAAUUGUCCAUGGAGAAGAUUGAAAAAUUCCUCCAUACUAUGGGCCACAAUGAAGCCAAAGUGGUUUUAAGCUUGCAUGAAGCUCCACACCAGAUAUCAAUCCUGGACUUGGUUUUCUCUUCCGAAGAUCAUCGGAAGGUUUUGCUAAAGGUUUUGGAAGAAGCCUAUUUACCAACAUCAGUGGAUGUGGAAAAAUUUCAACAUUUGGUUGAUCACAUUUUCAACAACAAUGUGAUAUCCUUCACUGAUGACGACAUACCUCCCGAAGGGACUGGUCACUGUAAACCACUACACAUUGCUGUGUUGUCUUCUGGGUAUAUGCUCGCAGGAGUAUUGAUAGAUGGAGGCUCAUCUCUAAAUAUUUGUCCUUAUGCCACCCUGAUGAAGAUGAACAUCAAUCCGAAUCGAAUCCAAAGUAGUUAUACCAUCAUCAGAGCUUUUGAUGGAUCUCGGCGAAAUUCUGCGGGAAAGAUUGAGUUUCCAAUUGAGAUUGGUCCCCAUACGUUCAACGUAUCCUUCCACGUCCUCAAAAUCGAUUCAGGAUACAACCUGUUAUUGGGGAGACCAUGGAUACACAUGGCGGGAGUUGUUCCCUCCACCUUACAUCAACAACUCAAAUACAUCAUCAACAACAGUCUAAUCACUGUUAAUGCCGAGCCAGAAGGUCCUAAACCAGGAGCUCUGCCAAUUAUCAGUUUCAAUUCAGAAGUUGAGCCUGCUAGUUUUCACACUCUGGAAAUGAGUAAUACGCAAUACCAUCCUAAUGGAGCACCACUUCCCGUACCCAAGAUUUCUGACGAGGUGAUGUCCGCCACUCAAGAAAUGAUAUCAUUGGGUUACCAACCUGGACAAGGGCUUGGUAAGGAACAGCAAGGUAUCACACACCCUAUACAACUGUCCAGUCAAAUCGGUACAGCCGGGCUCGGCUAUUCUGCCAAUGCUAAUCAUAGGAAUCCUCAUAAGCAUAAGCAGAUUCUUCAACAUGCCGCCGUAAGGAGAUCUUCGCUACCUUUACCACGUGAGUUAAUGCAAUCUCUAGUGAAGGUUCCAGCCCAGACUAUGGCUAUGCUGUUUCCGAGACCAGUACCAAUCAAAGCUAAAGAGGUGUUGACUCUUGAUCCCGAGGCGGAAGAAAAAGAGCGGAAACAUAAACAUGACCUUGCCUUGAUGAUGGCAGGCAUUCGCGUUAUUGUUCACGAUGAACAUACAAUCAGAUACACUCUAGACGAUGAUUUCCCAGAUGUCAUGGUUAUCAUUCAGGAGGAGAAGGACACUGAUAAUCCUUCUAUCACCGCAGUCCUUCAGGACUUUGCCCUUGACAACUGGAGCAGUACUCCAUGCAUUGGUCAACGAGGAUAAAAUGGGCAGAAAAUCCCUCUGCCCUAUAGAUAACUUUUAAUUGCUUGCUUUCCUUUACAGCACUAGCAGUUAUUUUAUCACGUACAUGCUAACACUUUUGUAUGAUCAAACAGUUGCAUAUAUUAAGUGAAAGCAUAUUUUUUGUUUCAGGACUCUGAAUUUAGAUGUGCCUGUACUUGCUGAUAAGGUGCCUUUUCUCCACAAGGACUGUAACUUUGAUGCAAAGUUGGACUCAGACUUGAUGGACAUCCAAGAGGACAUUGAGACACCUCAAGAGAUCAAGGAAUGGGUCACCGACAAACCUAAACCCAAUCUUGAUCAAACCAUUCCUUUCAAUCUUGGAACCUUAGACAACCCUAAGCUAAUCCAAAUUGGUUCAGACCUUACCACAAAUCAACGGAAUGACAUGGUUGCCUUAUUAACCCAAUUCCAGGAUGUGUUUGCAUGGUCUCACGAAGACAUGGUGGGAUUGUCCACUGACAUUGUUCUUCAUCGCCUUCCCAUUAAAGAAGGAUUCAUGCCAGUUAGGCAGAAGCUCAGGCGAUUGAAACCUGAGUGGAGUUUAAAGGUUAAAGAAGAAAUUGUGAAACAGUUUCAAGCUGGCAUUAUCAUGGUGUCUACAUAUCCGGAGUGGAUAUCCAACAUUGUCCCCGUACGUAAACCAGGGGGAAAGGUACGAGUCUGCGUGGAUUACCGGGAUUUGAACAUAGCUUACCUUAAAGAUAGCUUUCCCGUACCGUUUAUCCACAUUCUCAUUGACAAUACAGUUCAAUAUGGCAUGUACUCCUUUGUUGAUUGCUUCGCGGGGUAUCAUCAAAUUAUGGUCGCCGAGGAGGACCGUGAGAAAACUGCUUUCAUCACGCCUUGGGGAACCUUUUUGCUACAGACGGUUGUCAUUUGGCCUCAUCAAUGCCGGGGCAACUUACCAACGAGCUAUGAUGGCUCUUUUUCUUGAUCUAAUGCAUAAAGAGAUAGAGGUCUAUGUGGAUGACAUCAUUGUUAAAUCCCGGAAGGAGGAUGACCACUUAGACCAUCUCAGAAAGUUGUUCAACAGGUUGCGUAAGUACAACUUGAAGUUGAACCCCGCCAAGUGCGCCUUUGGUGUUAAGUCAGGCAAGUUGCUAGGGUUCCUAGUCAGCCGCAAAGGAAUUGAGCUGGAUCCUGCUAAAAUCCAGGUCAUCAAGGAAAUGCCCAUUCCUCAGACAGAAAAGGAAAUACGGGGAUUUUCGGGAAGAAUCAACUUCAUAAGCCGAUUCAUUUCUCAACUCACAGCAACCUGUGAGCCAAUCUUCAAAUUGUUAAGGAAGAACUCCUCCAUGAAAUGGAAUGAUGAGUGCCAGAAAGCCUUCCUCACAAUUAAAGAACAACUGAUUAACGCUCCUGUUUUGGUACCUCCCAGGGAUGGUAUUCCCCUGUUCAUGUACCUGUCCAUAAAUGACAAUGUUAUGGGCUGUAUGCUGGGGCAAAAAGACAAUAGAGGCCAAGAGUGAGCUAUCUAUUACCUUAGCAAAAGAUUCAGCACCAGUGAACGCAAGUACACUCUGAUCGAGAAAACUUGUUGUGCUUUGGCAUGGGCCUCCAUGAGAUUACAACAUUAUCUUCAUGGUCACAUAACCCAUCUCAUAUCCCGCAUGGAUCCUCUUAAGUAUGUGUUCAACAAACCCAUACUGAAUUGUCGGCUGUCCAGAUGGCAGUUGAUCCUCCAGCAAUUUGAUAUUGUAUACGUGACACAAAAGUCUGUCAAAGGUCAAGGCAUUGCGGAUCAACUUGCCGCCGCACCUGCAGGGGAUUAUAAACCUCUAGAAACAUACUUUCCCGACGAAGGGGUAAUGGCAAUUCAACUAACACAUCAGUACGACGUGUCCCUGCUGUGGAGAAUGUAUUUUGAUGGAGCUGUCAAUUCAGAAGGCUCCGGAGCUGGAGCAGUUUUAAUAUCUUGCACAGGGGAGCAGUAUCCCGUCGCCGUCAAAUUAUAGUUUGUCAAUACCAAUAACACAGCUAAAUAUGAAGGCUGCAUUAUGGGACUCAAACUUGCCCGUUCAAUGGGUAUCAGGCGUUUAACUGUCUUUGGGGAUUCUGAACUGGUGAUCAAGAAAUCCACAGGAAUCUAUCAGACCAAAGAAUUUCAUUUACUGCCCUACCAUCGGCAAGUUAUACAGAUGGCUUUGGAGUUCGAAGAAAUCUCCUUUCUACACAUUCCUCGUAACAGGAAUGAUUUUGCAGAUGCUUUAGCAACAUUGGCUUCCUUAGUUUACAUACCUGACAAGGAAAGCAUGCCAAACAUCACGAUUGCUAUGCACAAGACCCCAGUUUAUGGGAAUUACAUUGGAGAAGUAUCGGAUGAGCUACCUCCCGUCCAUAACCCAUGGUAUCAACAUAUCAAGGAGUAUUUACGAGAUGGAUCUACACUCGCCGAGGCGAGCCUAACUGAAAAGAGGCGGAUUCAUCGACUUGCUAUGAAAUUCUAUCUGAGCAGAGAUGCACUCUACAAGAGAGAUGUAGGACUAGGCCUCCUCAGAUGUCUGGACAAAGAUCAAGCUCAAAGACUCAUGGAUGAGAUCCAUGGUGGAGUAUGCGGCCCUCACAUGAGUGGAUCCCUCCUGGUUAAAAAGAUUCUCAGAACGGGACAUUAUUGGCUCACAUUCAAAGUUGACUGUGAUGAUCACGUCAAGAGGUGCUAUCAAUGUCAAAUCCAUGGGAAUGUUAUCCACGCCCCUCCAAGGGAACUCCACAAUAUUAGUUCGCCAUGGCCUUUCUCAAUGUAGGGAAUGGACGUGAUCGGGCCCAUUGAGCCCAAAUCCAGUAAUGGACAUCGGUUCAUAUUUACCAUGAUCGACUACUUCACCAAAUGGGUCGAAGCAGCCUCCUUCCCCAAGGUCACUAAAGAAGUCAUCAUUUGUAAGACCCCAAUUAAUUGAUAAAUGAAAUUUAUUUUCCUCUAUUUAUUAUUUUUUUAGUAAGGGUUGAUUUGAUUAAUGUGGUUAGUUAUGGGUAAAAUGCGCAAAUAUUUUAAAUAAGUAGGUGGUUAUAAAAUAUUUAUUUUUGUCGGAGAAUAUUCGUUUGGUCGUGGAAUAUUCUUACUGUCGGGGAAUAUUCGUACGACGGCGCAGCCUUGUGUGGGCCCCAUAACAAAAAGCGAUUGGAUGAAAAAAAUGACAAAUAUAAGUUGUUUAAAAAUAACGGCGUAGUUGUUACCGUUAACACUGUUGGAAUACCCGGUGGUUAAAACACAGUAAUACGCGUUGUUGCACAGUAGCACACGGUAUUGCACCAAUUAUUGAAGGCACUACUCAAUAAUGGUUACAGUAAUUACUGUUCAGUAUUUUAUUUUAUUGAUUCAAUAAUUGCUGCGUUGAUAUUUUAUAUUGCUGUUGUUUCAAUAAUUGUCAUUACACAGUAUUUUUCAUUAUCGAAGCAAUAAUUCAUAUUAUCUGAAUAAUAUUAUUAGAUAACAUUAUUGGCAAUGUCUAGAAAGUUCUGUCUAAGGAGAGGUUUGGUCACCUAAUUGCGCGCCAGUAAGGAGAAAUUCUUAUUGGAAAGCCCCCUCUUUCCUGGGAACUGCCUGGUUGUCAAUAUUGUGAUUCUGUAAUAUUAUUUGUGAAUAAUUAAUUAUUGAUUCAUAUGAUGAGGAAAAUAUUGAUUUUAUGUGGAUAUAGAUGGAGAAAAUUUUUAAUGUGACAAUUGUUGAAAAUUGAAAUUUUAUCUUUUUCUGAUAAAAUAAUUCAUUUAAAUAUAUAUUUUUAUAUUUUAAUAAUAUAAUAAUGGUGAUAUUUUUACAACGAAUGUGGGAUAUAUGAGUAUACGAGGAGGAAGAGUAUUUUUGUUGCAAUAAAUGUUUAAAACAUGUUAAACAUGUCGGUGGACCCCAUUUAUUGACUGAAAUUUGAUUAUAGCCUCUAAAAUCGCCCGUUUGUGGAUUUCGGUCAAUUUCUGUUUGGAAUUUGGAAAAACUUUCUUCUGCAAAGUUGUAGAGAAUUGAAUUUCCUAUAAAAACUCGCGAGAUUCGAAUUUUCUGAUAAAAGGGCUAUUUAUUAUGAAUUAUUGAAGUUCCGAAGCUCCGAAAUAAUUGAUUUUUGGAAGUUUAAAAUAUUUUAAAUUAGAAAAACGUUUUUUUUAUUUUUUUCUAGAAGGUUGGCAUGUGUGAAUUGCUGAGAUUAAGAUUUCAAGGAAUACGUAUAAUAUUUUUAUAUAUAUUAAUAUUAUAUUAAAUUUUCUGCUUUGGUGUUCUAAGCAAUUUCCUAUAAAUAGGUGCUUAGGUUAGAAUUGAAAAUCACACCAGAAACUGAAGUUUUCUCUCUCUAUAUUAUCGAGCGUAUUCUUGUGAGUAUUUUGAGUAUACUUUGAGUAUUGCUAUACGGUGAAAGUUCAAGUUAUAGCCUAUAUCCAGUAUUCCAGUUAGAAGUACUGUCUUUCCGAGGUAAGGGAUAUUAUUUUUUUUCGUAAUGAUAUUAUUUCUUCAAUAUCAUUAUGCUGAAAUAUUGAUCUGAAGUUUUUAUCAAAUUUGGAACUUUUGGUGUCGGAGUUACUAUUCACGUAUACGGCACUAUUCACGUAUACGGUACUAUUCACGAAUACGGCACUAUUCAUCGAAAAAUGAAAAUUUUUCUUUUCGUCCAAAAUAUCUAUUGUGGAUACUAGCUUUGAUUGUAUCCAUGUUUUGAUCAUUCUUGAAUUUUACUCCACUAAGAUUAUUUUUGAGAUUUUUGGAUAUGGAUAAAACAAAGUACGAAUCCUUAAUACUUGUUCUUUUGUUGCACUGGAUUUGUUUUCUUUAAAAUAUUUUUCAUCAUCCUCAGUCCUAAAUGAUGAUAUUACUGAAUAUCUUUGGCCUGUAGUGCAAAGAUGAAUGAUUUCUUGAUGAAUAUCUUUGGGCCGUAGUGCAAAGAUGAACAGGUGUUUAGAUGAACAUGACCGACUGAUGAAUAUCUUUGGCCUGUAGUGCAAAGAUGAAUAUUUGAUUUGAGAUGAAUAUUGAUUGAUGUUACAGGGAUAAAAUAUUGAUGAUAGACUGUUAAAUUCAUAGAUUAUAAUAGAUUUCAUUCUCUACGUAACUUUUCUAUGAAUUAUUAUUUCUGCUGCGAAUAUUAAUCUAAAACUUGUUGUUUAAUGUAUUCUCUCAGAUUUUUCCCUGUUGAAGAAUAACGAUAAUUUGUUGUAUAUUAUCUUAGUCAUAAUAUUUUUUACUGGGCUAGUGGAGCUCACCCUUUUCCUUUUUGUUCCAUUUUUCUUCUCAGGAGGCGAGAAUGUAGUGAGUACUAGUCGGGGUAUGGAAUGAAGGUUCUAGAGAGAGUUGUUUAGUAGUCCUCACCAUUUUUGUAAAAUAAUGUAUCAAUAAAUGUGAUGAGGAUUUAUUUGGGUAUAGAUAUUGUCUAGAAGAUAAUAUUUGUAUUCAAACUCACAGUUUUACUGUUGUAAUAAUAAAGUUGUAGUUAUUUAUGUACCAUAUAUUGACAACUCAGAAUGGGUGAUGUAUACCUAUUUUGGGGGCGUCACAGUUGGUAUCAGAGCUUAGGGAUAUGAUAUCUGACAGAGGUCGAGGAAUAGAACUAGGAGGGGAGAGACGAGUAAAUCCUUCGCUAGUGUGUCCUACCUAAGCUUAUUUGUUAGUUGGUCAGUAUAUAGGAAUAUUAUGUGAUAUAUUGAUUUCCUUAAUUAACCCUUGUUUUAUGACAAUAUUUGAGAAUGUUGACUGAGAAUAUUAAUAGUGGAGUAAAUGAGACCAUGGAGACGCCGGUACUCACCAACGAGGAGAACGUGCAACAGGCUGGCAAUGUUCCUCCUGUGAACAACACCACUGAGCAGAUGAUGAACGAGGGGAUAUUUAGAAGCUUUUUGCAGUUCAUGCAAAAUCAGACGAGGGAGACUCGUGUUCAAAACAUAGGAGGAAAUGAUAGCAAUUCACGGGUUGUCACAGCCAAGCAGUUCAAAGAGUUGGGACCACCAGAAUUUAAGGGAAAGCCAGAUCCGAUCAUGGCAGAAACAUGGGUCAAGCAAAUUACCAAGAUAUUCGAUGUCUUGGGAUGCACAGAGGAACAGAAGGUUCCAUUCGCCACCUUUAUGUUCCGUGGCGAGGCAGACUACUGGUGGGAGUCUGUGAAGCGUACCCAUCCAGCCGCACUCAGCAUGUCUUGGGAGACGUUUCAGAAACUAUUUAAUGACAAAUACUUUCCUGAAAGUGUUCGUCAUAUGAAGGAAGUGGAGUUUAUUAGACUGGAGCAGAACAACAUGACGGUGUCUCAGUACGAGGCGAAGUUUGCAGAGUUAUCCAGGUUUGCACCUCAUUUGGUGGAGAAUGAGGAACGUAUGACGCGGAUGUUUCUGAGAGGUUUGAAACCCGGCAUACGUCAGUAUCUCAUCUCUCAUAAAUUUUCUCUCUAUUCAGAUGUUGUUAACAGGGCUCAAUUGUUAGAGCGAGAUAACGAGUACGGUCAACCGAGGUACCACAAUCAGGAUCAUACCGGAGAUAGCAGUCAACAAAACAACAAUAACCAGUGGAGAAAGAAAAAGACGGACAAAAAUGGUAACCACUCUGGUGGUAAUCAUGGCCAUGAAAAUAGAAGAAGCGAGUCAGGAGGAGAUUUUAAAAAGAGGAGAUUUAACAAAGACCAUGUGAAGACGACAGUGCCGGUAGCAACUGGUUCUAAGGGAGGAGAACGACCACUGGUCAUAUGCUAUAAAUGAGGGAAAGAGGGACAUAUCAGUCCAAACUACCCACAACAGUUCAAGGUAUGCUAUAAUUAUGGAAAGGAGGGACAUAUCGCUCGAGAUUGUACGGUAGCAAAACCUAGUUCAGCGGGGACGGUGACUCAAAAGACUGUCCCAGAAAAGUCAAAGUCAACGGUUCCUGGAAGAGCGUUUGUUGUGACUGGUCAAAAUGCGAGGAACCCAAACGAGGUGAUCACGGGUAAGCUAUUUAUAAAUUCUUGUGAAGUUUAUACUUUACUAGAUACCGGUGCUACCCAUUCAUUUAUCUCUCCUGCUUGUGCUCAACGUUUAAACUUGACUCCGGAGAAAUUAGACUUUGACCUAUCUGUGGAAACUCCGUUAGGAGAAACUUUCAUCACAUCCACUGUUUAUAAAUCUUGUCUAAUCCAUGUUGGCACCCUUAUCUUACCUGUUGACCUUAUCUCUUUAAAGAUACUUGCUUUUGAUGUGAUUUUAGGGAUUGAUUGGUUAACUACUCAUCAUGCCAAAAUUGAUUGUUUUCGUAAGGUUGUUAGCUUUCAUAUUCCUAAACAACCUGUUGUUCGAAUUCAAGCAACUAAACCAUUAAAAUCAAUCACUGUCAUAUCUAAUCAUAAAGCUAUUCGUUUAUUAAAAAACGGAUGUCAAGCUUUCUUAGCCCAUGUUAUGGAUUUGAAUAAAGACACGUCAAAAUUGAAUAAUAUUCCUGUUGUUAUUAACUUUCCUGACGUAUUUCCUGAAGAACUUCCCGGUCUACCCCCAGAACGUGAAGUUGAAUUCUUUAUUGACCUUGAACCUGGUACAAAGCCCAUUUCUAAAACCCCAUAUCGAAUGGCUCCUAUUGAACUUCAGGAGUUAAAGGUCCAACUACAGGAGUUGUUGGACAUUGGUUUCAUUCGUCCUAGUACAUCUCCUUGGGGUGCUCCUGUUUUAUUUGUAAAGAAGAAAGACGGGAGUAUGCGACUUUGUAUUGACUAUCGGGAAUUGAACCAUGUCACUAUCAAGAAUAGGUAUCCUCUACCUCGUAUUGAUGACUUGUUUGACCAGUUGCAAGGAGCACAAUUCUUUUCAAAAAUCGAUCUUCGUUCUGGAUAUCAUCAGCUGAAGAUUAGAACUGAGGAUAUUCCAAAGACUGCCUUUAGAACUCGGUACGGGCAUUAUGAAUUCUUAGUUAUGUCUUUCGGAUUGACUAAUGCUCCUGCGGCUUUCAUGGAUAUGAUGAACCGAGUAUUCAAAGAGUAUUUGGAUCAGUUCGUUGUUGUCUUUAUUGAUGACAUCCUCAUAUAUUCCAAAAGCCGUGAAGAUCAUGAGCACCAUUUGAAGCUGGUACUCCAAAGGCUUCGUGAAAACAAGCUUUAUGCCAAGUUAAAGAAAUGCGAGUUCUGGCUUGAGGAAGUAGCAUUUCUUGGGCAUGUGGUGUCAAAACAUGGAGUAUCUGUUGACCCGGCGAAGAUUGAAGCAAUACAAAGUUGGGAGCAACCGAAGUCGGUGACUGAAGUACGUAGCUUUUUGGGCUUAGCUGGUUAUUAUCGGAGAUUCGUGGAAGGGUUUUCUCGAAUCGCUACUCCGUUAACUCAUCUAACUCGGAAGGAUACAAAAUUCGUUUGGAGCGAAGAAUGCGAGAAGAGUUUCCAAGAGCUUAAGAGGAGACUUAUUUCGGCACCUGUUCUAACAAUACCAUCUGGUUCGGAUGGAUUUGUUAUCUACAGCGAUGCUUCGGGCAAAGGGUUAGGAUGUGUUCUCAUGCAACGUGGGAAAGUCAUAGCCUAUGCCUCGCGACAACUUAAAGAAUAUGAGAGGAAUUAUCCUACUCAUGAUCUAGAGUUGGCAGCAGUCGUUUUCGCGCUAAAGAUCUGGAGGCACUAUCUAUAUGGGGAGAAAGUGGAGAUAUAUUCAGACCAUAAAAGCCUUAAAUAUUUCUUCACUCAAAAAGAACUUAACAUGCGGCAGCGACGUUGGCUCGAGCUAUUGAAAGACUACGACCACACUAUUCAAUACCAUCCUGGAAAAGCGAACGUGGUAGCUGACGCGUUGAGUAGAAGAUCAUAUGCAGGAACGAGUGCGAUGAUGUCAAGUAUACGCAUAGAGCCAACUUUAAUAGAAAAAGUUAAGGUUGCUCAAGCCACCGACCCGGAGCUGAUGCGUAUGAAGAAGAAAGUACAAGAAGGUGCUAUUCCGGAAGCGAGAAUUGAUGAAGAAGGAAUACUUCGAGUCCACUCCAGACUUUGUGUUCCUAACGAUUCUGAUUUGAAGUACAAGAUCAUGAUGGAGGCACACAAUACACCAUUUGCAAUCCAUCCUGGAAGUACCAAAAUGUAUCGUGAUCUUCGACAUACAUUUUGGUGGAACAAUAUGAAGAGAGAGAUUGCAAAGUUUAUCUCGAGGUGUUUAACUUGUCAACGUGUAAAGGCGGAGCAUCAAGUACCUAAGGGUCCAUUGCAACCACUUGAGAUUCCGAAAUGGAAGUGGGAACACAUUACCAUGGAUUUCGUUACAGGUCUUCCUACGGUUUCUCAAGGCAUCGAUGCUAUUUGGGUUAUUGUUGAUAGAUUAACCAAGUCUGCUCAUUUCUUGCCGAUACGGGAGACUUAUUCCUUUGAACGUCUUACUAUUAUAUACGUGAAUGAGAUUGUGAGGUUGCAUGGCAUGCCUGUAUCCAUAGUUUCGGAUCGUGACCCAAGAUUCACUUCAAGAUUUUGGGUUAGCUUGCAAAAAGCUAUGGGCACAGAUUUGCGAUUUAGUUCGGCAUACCAUCCUCAAACGGACGGACAAUCAGAGAGGACUAUUCAAACUCUUGAAGAUCUAUUAAGACUCUGUGUCCUAGACUUCAAAGGGAGUUGGGAUAAGUAUUUACCAUUGGUGGAAUUCUCUUACAACAACAGUUAUCAGGUAAGCAUUGGUGUGGCCCCAUUUGAAGCAUUAUAUGGACGAAAGUGUCGCUCUCCAAUAUGUUGAGACGAGGUGAGUGAAGCAACAUUGUUGGGACCCAAGUUGGUACGUAUGACUACGGAAAAGAUCCAAAUAAUUCGACAACGUAUACAAACAGCACAAGAUCGACAAAAGAGUUAUGCGGAUCUUCAUCGAAAGGACGUAGAAUUUAGUAUUGGGGAUCAUGUACUGUUGCGUGUUGCCCCAUGGAAGGGAGUUACAAGAUUCGGGAAGAGAGGAAAGCUCAAUCCACGAUUUAUUGGUCCAUUUCAAAUUCUUGACCGAGUAGGUAAUGUAGCCUAUAGACUCGCGUUACCUCCGAGUAUGUCUCGUGUUCAUAAUGUGUUUCACAUAUCUGUACUUCGUAAAUAUGUGAAAGACCCGAACCACGUUAUUGAGUUAGAACCAGACGAGAUAGCUGAAGACUUAACGUAUGAGGAGGUACCUGUCAAGAUCUUGGAGAAAAACGAGCAUGUCUUACGCACGAAGGUCAUACCACAAGUCAAAGUUUUGUGGCGGAACCAUGCUAUAGAGGAAAUGACCUGGGAGUUGGAAACGGAAAUGAAUGCGAGGUAUCCUCACCUUUUCAAAACACCAGGUACGUACGUCAAUUUCGAGGACCAAAUUUCAUAAGGAGGGGAGGUUGUAAGACCCCAAAUAAUUGAUAAAUGAAAUUUAUUUUCCUCUAUUUAUUAUUUUUUUAGUAAGGGUUGAUUUGAUUAAUGUGGUUAGUUAUGGGUAAAAUGCGCAAAUAUUUUAAAUAAGUAGGUGGUUAUAAAAUAUUUAUUUUUGUCGGGGAAUAUUCGUUUGGUCGUGGAAUAUUCUUACUGUCAAGGAAUAUUCGUACGACGGCGCAGCCCUGUGUGGGCCUCAUAACGGAAGAGAUUGGAUGAAGAAAACAACAAAUAUAAGUUGUUUAAAAAUAACGGCGUAGUUGUUACCGUUAACACUGUUGGAAUACCCGGUGGUUAAAACACAAUAAUACGCGUUGUUGCACAGUAGCACACGGUAUUGCACCAAUUAUUGAAGGCACUACUCAAUAAUGGUUACAGUAAUUACUGUUCAGUAUUUUAUUUUAUUGAUUCAAUAAUUGCUGCGUUGAUAUUUUAUAUUGCUGUUGUUUCAAUAAUUGUCAUUACACAGUAUUUUUCAUUAUCGAAGCAAUAAUUCAUAUUAUCUGAAUAAUAUUAUUAGAUAACAUUAUUGGCAAUGUCUAGAAAGUUCUGUCUAAGGAGAGGUUUGGUCACCUAAUUGCGCGCCAGUAAGGAGAAAUUCUUAUUGGAAAGCCCCCUCUUUCCUGGGAACUGCCUGGUUGUCAAUAUUGUGAUUCUGUAAUAUUAUUUGUGAAUAAUUAAUUAUUGAUUCAUAUGAUGAGGAAAAUAUUGAUUUUAUGUGGAUAUAGAUGGAGAAAAUUUUUAAUGUGACAAUUGUUGAAAAUUGAAAUUUUAUCUUUUUCUGAUAAAAUAAUUCAUUUAAAUAUAUUAUUAUAUUUUAAUAAUAUAAUAAUGAUGAUAUUUUUACGAUGAAUGUGGGAUAUAUGAGUAUAUGUGGAGGAGGAGUAUUUUUGUUACCAAAAAUAUUUAACACAUGUUUUAUGUGUCGGUGGACCCCAUUUCUUGACUGAAAUUUGAUUAUAGCCUGUAAAAUCGCCCGUUUGUGGAUUUCGGUCAAUUUCUGUUUGGAAUUUGGAAAAACUUUCUUCUGCAAAGUUGUAGAGAAUUGAAUUUCCUAUAAAAAUUCGCGAGAUUCGAAUUUUCUGAUAAAAGGGCUAUUUAUUAUGAAUUAUUGAAGUUCCGAAGUUCUGAAAUAAUUAAUUUUUGGGAGUUUUAGUUAAUUAUUUUGAGAAAAACGUUUUUUGUACAAUUAGUGGGCUCACAUGUGUUAUCAAUGUGCUGAAUUCAGAUCAUCAAAGGUGGGCUAAGGAAAUUUAUAAUAUAUAUUAAUAUUUUAUUAAAUUUUCUACUUUGGUGUUCUAAGCAUUUUCCUAUAAAUAGGGUGCUUAGGUUAGAAUUGAAAAUCACACCAGAAACUGAAAACUUCUCUCUCUUUCUCUCUCGAUAUAUUGAGCGUAUUCUUGUGAUUCUACUUUUGAGUGUUGCUAUACGGUGCAAGUCAUAGCCUAUAUACGGUGUUUCAACUAGAAGUACUGUCUUUCGAGGUAAGGGAUGUUAUUUUUUCGUAAUGAUGUUAUUCUUUCAAUAUCAUUAUGCCGAAAUAUUGAUCUGAAGUUUUUAUCAAAUUUGGAACUUUUGGUGUCGGGGUUACUAUUCACGUAUACGGCACUAUUCACGUAUACGGCACUAUUCAUGAAUACGACAUUAUUCAUAGAAAAAUUAAAUUUUUGUUUUUGUCCAAAAUAUCUAUUAUGGAUACUAGCUUUGAUUGUAUCCAUGUUUUGAUCAUUCUUGAAUUUUACUCCACUAAGAUUAUUUUUGAGGUAUUUUUGGACAUGGAUAAAACAAAGUACGAAUCCUUAAUACUUGUUCUUUUGUUGCACUGGAUUUAUUUUCUUUAAAAUAUUUUUCAUCAUCCUCAGUCCUAAAUGAUGAUAUUACUGAAUAUCUUUGGCCUGUAGUGCAAAGAUGAAUGAUUUCUUGAUGAAUAUCUUUGGCCCGUAGUGCAAAGAUGAACAGGUGUUUAGAUGAACAUGACCAACUGAUGAAUAUCUUUGGCCUGUAGUGCAAAGAUGAAUAUUUGAUUCCAGAUAUAUAUUGAUUGAUGUUACAGGGAUAAAAGAUAGACGAUGAACUUUUAAAUUCAUACAUAGAAGAUAGUAGUUUGCAUUCUCUACUUAACUCUUCUAAUGAAUUAUUAUUUCCGCUGCGAAUAUUGAUUUAAAACUUGUUGUCUAUUGUAUUCUAUUAGAUUUUUCCCUGUUGAAGACUAACGAUAAUUUGUUGUAUAUUAUCUUAGUCAUAAUAUUCUUUACUGGGCUAGUUGAGCUCACCCUUUUCCUUUUUGUUCCAUUUUUCUUCUCAGGAGGCGAGAAUGUAGCGAGUACGAGUCGGGGUAUGGAAUGAAGGUUCUAGAGAGAGUUGUUUAGUAGUCCUCACCAUUUUUGUAAAAUAAUGUAUCAAUAAAUGUGAUGAGGAUUUAUUUGGGUAUAGAUAUUGUCUAGAAGAUAAUAUUGUAUUCAAACUCGCAGUUUUACUGUUGUAAUAAUAAAGUUGUAGUUAUUUCUGUACCAUGUAUUAACAACUCAGAAUGGGUGAUGUAUACCUAUUUUGGGGGCGUCACAACAUUGCUUUCAUCAGAAACAAUGUUGUUUGUCGAUAUGGGCAACCAGAGGUCAUUGUGUCAGACAAUGCUAAGAACCUCAACAACAAAAUGAUGGAGGAAUUAUGCAAACAAUUCCACAUCAAACACCUUAACUUUGUCAUCUACCGACCAAAAAUGAAUGGUGCUGUUGAAGCUGCUAAUAAAAAUAUCAAGAAGAUCAUGCAGAAAAUGUCCGCCAAUCACAAAGGAUGGCCUGACCUCUUGCCCCUAACUUUAUUAGCCUACAGAACUUCAAUGCGUGCUUCCACUGGGGCAACCCCCUACUCACUAGUCUAUGGGAUGGAAACAGUACUCCCCAUAGAAGUGGAAAUGGAAUCCCUCAGGACAUUGAUGGAUGCUCAGUUGGAUGAAGACCAAUGGGUACAAGACAGGUAUCACCAAUUAUCUCUAAUAGAUGAAAGGCGAACCGCGGCUAUCUUCCAUGGUCAGUUAUAUCAGCAAAGGAUCGCACGAUCCUACAACAGGAAAGUCCGACUAUGGCAAUUCAAACAACAUGACUUGGUUUUGAAGAGGAUCAUUGACAACCAAGAUCAGUCUAAGGGAAAAUUCGCUCCUAACUGGGAAGGCCCAUUUAUUGUCAAGGAAGUAUUGAUAGGAGGUGCUCUCAGAUUACAAGAAGUGGAUGGUGAUGAAUUUUCACAGCUCAUCAAUUCGGACACCGUGAAACGGUACUUUGUCUGAAGUUGCCAUCCAACAAACAUCCUGGUUUUGAUCAUCAAAACACCAGUUAUUCCGGUUUUGAACCCUUUCUUUUACACACUCUUUUCUGCCCCUCAGGGAAACAUACAAUUCAGACCAGCAGCCUGGUUCUUUUCAGCUUCUCCCGAAAAUGAGAAUAAACUUUUCACACACCUGCAGUUUAUCCUAAAGACGGGAUUAAACUUUUCAAACUUUAUAGUUUAUCCUGAGGACGGGAUUAAACUUUCUCCACACUUGUAGUUUAUCCCCAUCAUGGGAUUAAACUUUCUUCUCCCCGCAGUCUAUCUUGCUUAUGGGAUUCAUAUCUAUUCCCCACAGCUUAACAUGUACAUGGGAUCAAGAUCUUCCCCGCGGAUUCACCUGCACAUUGGGACCCCCACUUUUCAGUCAUUCGUCCUGAGGGGCGAACUACGUCGACCUGAUCUCCCUAAUACCCGUGGGUACGUAGGCAACCAUAUUUUAUAUGGCCCGGUCACAACAAUACAGAAAAACAACAAAAACAUUUCUACCCUUUCUUCACAAAAAUAAAAACAACAAAAAUACUUCUAUACCCUUUUGCCUUCAACAUUCAGCGUUGAACCUCCUACACUAGGUUCGAACUACGCAGACUUGAUCUCCUCUUCAAUAGGAGUACGUAGGCAACCACUCAUGGUGCAGUCUGACCCCUACCAGAACAAACAUACUUGUCACACCGUACUGGGAUCAAACUUCAAAUUGCCCCACUUCAUCAGUUUCAGAUCAAAGGGAUGGAAUUAGCCAACCUCUUCUCACAAAUAGAAGAUACGGUGACCAUCUAAGUUGCGAUCGUUCCUCAAAGAGCAAUACCAAACCAUAAGAGGUGGAAUUAACUAGGCUUCUCCUGAAUAGAAGUACUGGCGACCAUCUGUGGAGCGGUCAAUCUCAGAGAGGAAGAAACUAUCAUCCUCUCCACUUUUCUAUACAGAUACCAGUCCCAAGACACCAAAGAUGGUAGGGAUUUUCAGAAAUCAAUGAUUCAUUCUAAGAGAUUUUGUGAUGUCUCAAUGUCCAUCUAUCAAGGAUAAGUUCAGAAUGCAUCAAGAUCAAAGGCCCUGGUGAAACAGGCAAAUAUCAAACAAGUAUCAAGGCAUAACUAAAAGGGAAGUGAAUCAACAUAUAUUUCCCUGCCAUACAUAAUACUGUUUGAUAUAUACAUAUGUGUUGUACAUGACAAAAUGGCUAAGCUAGUCUGUGCAAGAAAAUAUAAAGCUAUCUACGGAUCUGUAUGUAUGCGGACUAUCAGACCCAACAUAGCGUCCCUCUCUGAAGAUGGAUGUAAUGCUGCAAGCUCCUGCCCAAGGGUAUCUACACGAGCUAGCAGAUCAGAAGCCAACUACAUGGUGGCAUAAUGUCCAUCAAUGUAAGUACUCAUAUCGCAAAAGUGGUAGCCAUCUCGGAUCGCACUGAAGUACUAUCUGCAAUGGCCACAUCCCUAGCAGAUAAGGCGACAUCCCGCUCCUCGAUCAUGGCAUCCCUAGCCGAUCUAGCCUCAUCCCUCUCUAACAGAGCGGUAUCUCUCCCAUCAAAAGCUGUCAGCAUCGCGGCCCUAGCCUGAUCUCUCUCAUAGGUCAUCAGAUGUAAGCUCUACUCCAAAUGAUGUGCUGAAUACUAAGUAACAGUCGCGCUCAGGGUAGGAGAAUCUAUCACAGAUGCUGGCAACCCAGCAGUCAACUCAACGGUGGGAGUGACAGCCUCCUCUAUAGGCUCUUUAUCGUCAUCAUCAAUCUCCUGCACUGUGGAUACUGCCGCAGCCAAUGCAGUCUCUGUCUCUAUCCAUGCGGAAUACUCUGCAGAACUACCUGGAUAACUGACAAAAAACUCAGCCAACUCUCGCUGAUCCCAACAGGUAUACAACCUGGAUCUGUCCUCCGCUGAUAACCGGUGUGACGCGAAGCGCUGACUCACUGCCCCCUCAUAUGGAUGAAAGUCCUGAAACUGGUCAAACUGACACAUCACGGCCAGUGGGUGGUAGGUAAUCAUGCCCCUCAAACCAGCCAAAGGGAGAUAAUCCAUGCCCGGAGCAUGAGUAAUGAAGUUGUAGGGUGAGACGAUCCCUGAACACGACAGUAUGUCAAACGGAUCUCCGAUCUCUGCCAAGAAAGCGGACCAAGAUGCAGCAUCUGUACACUCCGCAGGCUGAAAAGAGUAUGACAUGGCUACCUCAUGGGUAAAACAAAAUCCAUGACGUCGAAAAGUGCCAAUCGGUCGCAAGUGUGACAUGAACCACACAUAUAACAUAACUGAACUGCCCGUAAAUGCUCUUGUCAGAUAAGCACAGCAGUAUGUAGCCAACCUCAAGGUCUCUGCAAUGAUCAUUGGUAUAAUGGUAUGACCCUUCCUGAGAGCUCUCACUGCCACGAUGACGCUAAUGUCGAGCUCAUCCAUGUACUACGGCAUGUAAACGUAUGACAAUACACAUAAAAGCAGUACAUCUACUCUGGCUGAACGCCAAUGAUCCUCCGGUGUGGUGAAAUCCCCGGAAUGUCGUGCAUAGCUAUUCUCAGAGCCAAACCUGUCGAUCAGGAAACGCUGGGAUAUCACAUGGCCAGAUGUAAUCUCAUCCUGCACUACUCUGCGCCUCAAACCUGUGAGAGUCAUGAACUGUCUACUCAUAUCUCCCAUCGCCAUGUGCACGCAAGGUCUGUCAAGAGGCAACAUCGUCAACCGUGCAUACUCCUCCAAAGUAGGAGUCAACUCACGGGUCCCAAAACGGAAUACCUGUCUAUCUGGUACCCAAUGCUAGAGCAUACCCUCUACAAAGCCUGGAGGAACCUGAAACAUCAGUAGGGUCAUAGUAUGCUGCAACAAAUCAUCUACGAUCACCAUGUCUGAUGGUGAUAUACUAUCAUACCAUGAUCGAAUACCAACUACCACCGCAGAUGGUGGGGUAUGAUCAAUACGGCUAACUGUUGAAGAAGACAUCUGUGCAGGCCGUGUCAUAAGACCAUCCAGGGGUCAAUGCUGAACAUCUCUAGAUAUACAUACAUAUGCAUAACAAUAACAUGCAUGAUACAAUAAAUGACAAUAUGAUAUAGAGAAUGAAAAACUGUGCAUACAUUCCUAAGUAUAUCAUCAUCUAAUACAUCUCUGUACAGCUAAAAUACAGGGAAAUGGGGCGAAGCUACCCAACAACUAACAGUGGCCUAUCAAAAGAUACAGCGAGAAUGGGGCGAAGACACCCAAUAUCUAACAGAGGCCUAUCAAGAGAUAACGAGAAAUACAUCAGAAAAAGUUAAUAGUGUCAAUGUCCACGUCAUCGAUGCUAUCCACCUGAUGUAACUCCUCCUGAGUCACUGGAUCUCUAUCUACAAGGAUGUCAGGCCUAUACAAGGGAGGAUCUGUGCCGGCAAAACCAAAUGGGUCACCUGAGGGGCCAGCUCCACUGCUGGAAGGAUCAAAAGUAUCUGCCUCUGAAGGAUCUCUGCCCAAAUGCCGAAUGAAAAGAUGUGAUCGGUCCAGCUGCCGAGUCAAUCUCUCGAUCUGUGUCGCAUGAGUCGGAUCUCUGACACAGGCUAGCCAAUCCGUCAUCAUCACGGAUCCUAGAACCAUAUCCCCCAUGAACUGUGUGGCGCGGGUCUGAGCUCCAAUGGUACGAGGGAUCCACCAACGCUGGAAUAUCUCCUGAGAACAGGGGCCCUCUGACAAUGUAAAACCGUCAAUCCCCAUCAAUGGGAUGUCAAUGACGGGUGACUGCGAAAUAGGCUAAUAACGCCUGGCAGGAGGCAAGAUCGGUAUACGUAUCUCUCCUGUGGUGCUCCUAAUCGCACGCUCUCCUAAAUAGAGCUCCGAUCCUCCAUCGGUAAAGAAAGAAAUCCUGCGGGUGGAUAUGAAGUACUCUACUCCAGUCGGGUAGCCAUCCUCAAAACUAACUCCCAGAUGCUCUCCAGAGUAGGGAAUCCACGUGAUGACAUCAGCUGUCAAUAUCUCCAGCUGCAGGCGACAAUGAGUGAAACCCUCAGAAACGGGGACCUCCGUCAGUAUGGAAUGAUGCCAUCUCCGUCCUCGUGGAUAGGUGUCUAAACCUAACACACUCACAGGACGUAAACAAGGGAGCCUCUCGUAAGCCCAAAACUGCCAACACAAAGGCAAAACACCUGCGGUCAGUCAACACUCAUAACCUGUACAUGGGAAAAGACACGAGGAACACUCACCAGCAGAAACGGGUAAAAUCCUAACCACGCCUCGGUCAAGCCCUGCGAUCGCAUGCGCAUUCCCCUGAGGAAGUAGGCAAAGGUAUAGGAGCCCCAAUCAUACUCUUCUACACGGUCCACGUGUCGAGUGGCGCUAAUCAAAGCGAAAGACACCGUAGAAGAGUUGUCUGCUAUGAAGCAGCCCCUAAUGAUCAUCAGGAACAAUCGCCGAAGAAUGCGAUCCCUGACUCUUACAUCAUCGGGUAUGGGCUCACUCAACAGCCCACUCAUAGCAUCUACACUCAAAGGACCUGUCCUAACAGUCCUGCCCUUGAGCGCUUCCGCCGGAACUCCCAACAAGGAUCUGACGGCAGUAGGGGUGAUAACCGCCGUGCAAGGCACCGGCUCCCCUCCAAACUCCAUGCCUGUAAUAAACCGCCAAUCCAUCGGCGUCAUCAGAACCUCACAAUCUAGCAAGUGAAGUGACUGAGUCUGGUGGAACCACCGCUCAGACAAUGCCCUGAGGUAACCCCAGGGACAGCGACGGGGUAGAAUGGAGAAGAAUCUCUCGAAUCCCCAGCCAUGGACGAUCGCUCUAUAGUCAUCAUGCAAGGCCUGAUACAUAGAGUGGAUGCUAAACCAGUUCCCUCGAGGCUGUGUAAAGCCUGGAACCUACAUCAAAUACAGAUCAACAUCAGGCUCCUUGACUCCUUGCCUAUAGGAAAUAAGGAAGAUUAACGAUCUAAUUUCGUACCUCGUUUGCAUGCAGGUAUAAAGAAGGAUGCCUACUCAAGUCACCCAGAAGAUCUGGGUUCGCCACUUGAAUACCUGGCAAUUCCCUGCGAGGAACACGUGCAGCAGGAGCGGGACCCUCGAACGAUACAUCAUCCUCCUCGUCCUCAACAUUCGGCACUUCAACCCGAAUAGGACGCACCACCUCCUCGACCAAACGACGAGGCUGUCUCAUAGAACGGCGUUGAGGCUCUUCAACAGCUCUCCUCCGUACGCCAGAAGUAGUCCUGCGGGAACUACUCGGUUGAUCUGGAUCCAUAAUAUCUGGACAACAAAUCUCCAAAUCACCUCAGAAAGGGUGUGGUAAUUCUAUACCUGGAGUCUUUUUCAAAUUGCAUUUUGUGAUUACAUGCAUACAUGCAUCGUUUUAACAUACAUAUGAUGUAGAGUUAAGAAUGCAUAACUGCUCAAUGCCUACAUUUUGGAAAAUUUUGCCAUAGUUUCCUUUGUAAAAGGGACUCCACAUGCACAUAGGCAUGACUAGGUGGCCAUUUAGUAGCACACCUUUACACAGUCAUGUACAUCCUGUAUGCAUUUCAUCACAUCACAGUAAAAAUCCGUAAGUGUACUCUAAUUACCAGGAUUCUUUACUACUCUACCUUUGUUCAUUUGUCCUCAGGUAGGAUAAGAAAUGACAGUAAAAGGUAUCAAUUUGACUGUCUCAAAAGUUAAAUUUUUUCACAUCAUUAUGUUCAGCAUGGUUUAAUACUAACAUUUGCUAUGUUGAAUAUUUUUUAUCAAGUCAUAUGAGUAAGCAUAUUCACUACUAUGUGUCUAAAUGCAUUUCAUGCGAUAAGUCAUGUUCCAACGGACAGAAAUUGGAAAAAAUACAUACAUGUGUUACCAGGACAGUGUAGAACGCUUGUACGGUGACAGAAUAUGCAGAAAGUUGCCCGAACUCAGCAGGUCUGCAGAAAAGCUCUCAAAUUUCCUUCGCGGCGCAGCUUGAAAAUGACUUAUGAAAGCAACUAGCUGGCUAUACAUAGUCACGGCUGGCCGCAGGUCAACCUGUGGCAUCUGCAGGUCCACCUGCUGCCCUCCUACAUGGGUCCCACACCUCCGGCUAGGUCCAGUUAGAGUUGCAAAGGAGGUUUCACAAGCUGAAAAGGCCAAAUCAGGAGUAAAAACGCUACGCGAUUGAGCGUAACGGCCUGAAAAUCUGGUUUUCUGUCAGUCAGAGUUAAACUCCCGUCGUCUCAAUGGUAUUCACCCGGAUACAGGGUAUACGAUACCAAGAAGCUAAGCUUUCACCAACCAUGCUCGACAAUACCCCACAACGGUCUGAUGCCGUCACUCGCAUGAACAUCCCCGGCGGGGGUUACAACGCAAAGACCACGAGUCAUCUGAAUAUCCCCGGCGGGGGUUCACCACGCAAUACAACCAUUGAUACACACAUCAAUGAAGGUCAAGCAACCUUGACGUCGUGUUAACCAAUGGCAAGUAAACCCAUUGAAGUAACCUUCCUCAACAAGGUCAACGACACAAUGCAACCGUUGAUACACACAUCAGCAGAGAUUAGGCAGCCCUAAUAAACAACUAACUGUUGGCAGUAACUCCGACAGUAUGAGGGAACAUGUUAUACACAUCCUCAAAACAAGCACAGUUUUAUCCCCACAGAUCUCUUGCACAGAAGAGGUACCUCUAUGGAGUAUAAACCAGUGUCUAGGAUUCAAGACUUUGGUGUUAGUCCUAACGUCAGCAUCCUUGAAGACUUGGGUCGCAUGUCCAAGCCAUCACUGAUUGUCAUACCAGCAGGAAUCCUUGACAAUCAUUCAUGCAUUCUGCAUACAUUUGCAUUAUGUUGUUGUACACUGCAUCAUGAUGAUCUUGCUUGUAUUUCAAGUGUCUAGGAUUCUUUAUCCUAUCCAUGCAUUGCGUUGCAUGAACAUGAUAAAGAGGGGCAUCUGUAGACACUCGAAAUUUUCUGCACUCCUAUUACUAACAUUGCAGGAGGAUAGAUUCGUCUUUUGGAGAUAACCCUGAAAGACAGCUUACAACAAAUCUGGAUACUACCCGAAGUUUCGCUCCAACCCGGAACACAAACCGGGAGCGUUGGUUCUGAACCCGGAACACACACCGAACCCGUCAUUUCCAAUCUCGGAGAUAACCCCGAGAUGUGCAGAUCAAAAGACCGGCAACAACACCAGAGAGGACAGUCCUGUCUCGGCGAUAACACCGUGACGUUCAGUUCCAGUCCUAGAGACAACACUGGGAAUAGCCGUCCCAUCCUUGGUGAUAACCCCAAGAGAUGAUCGUCGCAGUUCCGGCGAUAACUCCGGAAUUGCUUGUUUUAACCACAUGUGAACAGCUUCAAUCCCGGAUGACAGUGAGGCACACAAACAAGCAGGCCAAUCUCAGCUGUAACCCUGAGCAACGUCUGCUUUCCGCUUAAACCGGCGAUAACCCCGGUGAGGAGUCACCAACGUCAUCUCACAACGUCAACAAGAUGAUAUAGCAACAUACCACCAAGUAGUCCAAUCUCAGCUGUAACCUUGAGCAACGUCUACUUUCAACUCAACCCGGCAAUAACUCCGGCAAAGAGUCAAACAUCAUCUUAUUCGUCCAACAAAUGGCACGUCGUCUCAACAUUUCAGACAUACAUACAUCCAACAAUGUCCCGAAUAACCGAAGAAUGACAAUCCCGAGUGACUAUUACGUGUGACAGUAAUUUGGAUAGAAUUUGAAGCUUGAAGACCAUGGGUAUAGACCCAUCUUCCUGAAUUCGUACAACCUCUAAUCCAUGUCAUUACGUAACUCUCGACACCAGCGAUCCGAAGAAGUACAGACACGCUUCGUUUGGAUGCUAGGAUUGAAAUUCUGCAUGUUCGAUUGGACAUUACAGUACGCGAGUGCACGUACUACGAGACGACGGGACCCGCGAAGCCCGGGCCCACCACGACCAGCCGCAGGUAGACCUGUGGCUGCCACAGGUAGACCCGCGGCCAUCCGUCUAUAAAUAUAGAGGGGGGGUCAGCCAUUUGAGAGGAGGAGAGAGAAAAAGGAGAGGAAGCCCUGUCCAUUUAGCUCUGCAUACACAUCUUUUGAGUGUUUCCUUUUCUUUAAACACUAGUUAGCUCCUAUAUAGCUACUUUUUGUCCGGCGGGAGCCGAGUGUUCAUCCAUUUGCAGUCCAAAAAGUCUACUUUGGCAGUCCACUGUAAGCCUUCUUGUGUUCUAUAAAACUUCUUUCUUUCAUUAUUACACAUUGUUGCACACAUUGAGAGUCGUGUGGGUGUGUUUGCCCGGACUUAUGUCCGUGGUUUUCAUUUCUGUCUGUAUAUAUAUACUAAUAUAUGUAUAUAUUACUUAUAUAUGGACUAACAUUAUCGAGUUAUGCCUCGAUUGAGCCUAGACUUCGGUCUGGAGUGUUUAUUUGCUUUCGUAUAUAUAUAUAUAUGAAUUGUUGUCAUACUCUGUCUGAUGAGCCUGGAUUUACAUCCGGAGCGUUUAAUUGCUUCAUAUAUAUAUAUAUAUAUAUAUAACUGUUGUCAGACAUAUCUGAUGAGCCUGGAUUUUACAUCCGGUGCAUUUACUCGCUUUUAUAUAUAUAUACAUAUAUAUAAUUGCUGNNNNNNNNNNNNNNNNNNNNNNNNNNNNNNNNNNNNNNNNNNNNNNNNNNNNNNNNNNNNNNNNNNNNNNNNNNNNNNNNNNNNNNNNNNNNNNNNNNNNUAUAUAUAUAUAUAUAUAUAUAUUACAGCUUAUAUAUAUAUCUAACUGCUUACUGCUUUCCAUAUCAAUUGCAGUAUCGUGUGAGCCUAGGAAUCAUGUGAUCUUACAGAUUCAGAAUGAUGAAUCUAGAUUCGGUUCCCACGAUGGACAUUAUUCAGCUGUAAGCAGCUUGUACAUUAUUUUACAGUGUCCGAGUUUCCUUGGAUGGAUGUCAUGCCCGUGAGGAAUUCGGCACUGCUGUAUAUUGUUUUCUCGCAGAUGCUUCGCAUCUCGAAAAUAAAAGCAAACAAGCCGGACACAUAGUAAUAAAAUCGAAGUAUCAAAGGCCUUAAUUACUAUUGAGCAUGGGGUUUGAAAAACCUUUUUUCUAUAAAACGUCAUUGCUAUAUCCUGUUUAAAACUGAAUUUUUCUAUAAAUUCAAACCCUAUGUAUAUAGGUGCGAACGAGGCAUAACACUACUUUCAAAUAAUUGCACAUUGAUCCACACACACACACACACAUUCAUAUAACAGUUUCUUUGAAGAGUGGCGGUCAGCGUGGCAACACGGAUGUCGAGGGGUGCCUAACACCUUCCCUCCGCAUAAUCAAGCCCCCGAACCCUCAAUGAAUCUCGGUUUCACCGACCCGUUUAGCAGUGCCAAAUCACUGGGUCAAUGUGCAAACCUUUUCGAUUGCAUUGGUGCAACCAGUUAAAAACACCAACUGACGACUCUUAAAGUCAAAUCGUCGACAUUAUACAUGUCAGACCUUUUUCACUUGGUUUUUCAAACAAAUCUCACAUUAACAUGAGAACACCAAAAAACAAGUAAUGAAAAGGGACAGUAAAAAAUCCGACGUCGACAUUAAGCUAAUAUUAAAUAACGCCAACCAAUUAACAUAAUUAAGAUAAGAUAAAAUAAAAUAAAAUACAGCAAAAUAAAAUAAAAUAUAAUAAAAUAAAAUAAAAUAAAAUAAUUAAAUUAAGUAAAUAAAAUAAAAUAAAUUACAUAAUAUAAAAUAAGAAUUAAUUUAAUUUGAUUUAAGUAAAUUAAAUUAAAGAAAAUAAUAUAAUUUAAUUUAAUACAAAAUAAAAUAUAAUAAAUAAAUUUAAUUUAAAUAAAUAAAUAAAUAAAUAAUGUGAUAUAUUAUAAAAUAACAUAAAAUAAGUUUAAUUAAUUUAAGUUAAUUAAAUAAUAUAAUAUAAUAUAAUAUAAUACAAAAUAAAAUAAAUUAUAAUAAAAUAAUAUAAUAUAAUAACAUAUAAGUAAUAGUUUUCACUAACACUCAUAUAAUAGCAUAUAUUUACUUAGUUCCAUUACUAUAUAAAAUAAAGUAAAAGUACUAUAAUUUAUCAAAUAAUAGUUCUCAUAAACUAAGUAGCAUUUACAUAGUUCUACUACUACAUAAAUUAAAUUCUAAAUAUUAUAAUAUAUCCAAAGAAUACUUCUGAAAAACUAAGUUCGUAACAUUUAUUAAUUUUCCAUUGGUAAAAUAAACUAAAUAACAUUUGCUUAGUUUGUCGCAAAUAAAAUAAACUACAUAUAUACUUGUGUAUGUAGUAUAGUUUGGAGCUUAGAAACCUGUUUUACAUUCACUCAUUAGGAGUGAAUGCCGAAUAGUCCCCAGUUUGAGACUGUUACUUGAUGUUAUGUCUCUCACUUAGACCCGUGCCAACGGCAUGAGUAUAGUUUUUUAGGAUUUUAUGCUUGCUUUACCUAUAUGUUCUUCGAGUGCAUACUUAGAUUAAAUUAUCUUAGUCUAUUUUGUGUACUUGGAGACCAUGUGGUGCUAUGGAUUUUUUUUAAAACAUAAGAAAUGUGCUCAAGGUGUUGGCACUAGUGAGGAGACACAUCCAAGAAUGGGAGAGAAACCUAACCCCUGUAGAGUAGAGAUACUGGUAUAUAUAAUUCAUGCAUGUACCACAUACAUGAAUAUCCUUAUUCUGAUUGUGUCUUUUGUUAAAUUAAAGAUGAGUUGGAUAUACCGUAGAAUACCAGUUCAUGGGAGGGGAUUAGUUGAUGCAUACCGUGAUGGGUUGUGCAAUUUUUUGAACAAAGCAACAGGAUAUGCUAAUGAUCCGAAGAAAAAGAUGAGAUGUCCGUGUCUCAAGUGUAAAAACCUGAUUUGGAAGAAAGCCGACAAAAUUAAAUUUAACUUUUUUCAUGUAAAAACCUGAUUUCUUAUAUUCUUUUUAAAAACGUUUAUUUUUUUACUCAUGAUAGUCUUUUAUUGCUUUAAUAAACCUUGACAUGAUUUUAGUUCGUGAGUACCUAACACUUUCAGUUUAUAACCCUCUUAAUUGUAUCUUAAUACAUGGGUAUUCCAUACUUUUUAUACAUAACUUAGGUGUUCAAAGUAAAUAAGGUAUUUUACUUAUUGUUUAUGGUUACAUAUUACAUGAACACCCUAUAACUUUCAAGUCCCUUUAUGAACUCAUCUUUGUGAGUUUCUUUAUUGAAAAACAUCGCAUUCCCAAAAAAUACCAAAACAGCCCCUAAUAGAUAGGCAACACCGACAACCACGCCUUAUUUAGCCAAGUCAUCCUAAGCUUGGAUAACCAUCAUUGAUAGUUCUUAUUAUCUUUUUAAAGUAUCCAUCCAAUCAUAUUGGAUUUUAAAUAUUUUCUAUCUCAUAUACUUGUCCAUUUUAAAAACAUUACAAGUAUACCUCUUAUGGAUAAACUAGCAAACAUAAGUGCAUAGCCCAACUAGCUUGCUCAAACAGCCAUCACGGCUAUUCCUAGCUAACUGCUACUGCCGUUGGGCAGCAACCCCCUCUUACCUUGACCUUCGUUUUGACAAUCCUUAUUCCCUACGACUUUGAUCCAUUUGUGUUGAAUUUUGAAUACUAUAUAGGGGGUGUAACCACCCAUUUAAGAAAAUAUAGACUCUCCUUUGCAAGUAAAUUAACAAAUUACAACACGAAGCCAAAAGUAUCUCACCAAAUCUGCCCCUUGCUGCUAUCUGCUACUACCGUUGAGCAGCGGCUCCCUUUUCCUUGACCCCUACUUUGCUAAACUUUUAUUUUCCAUGUUCUUGAUUUGUUUAUGUUGCAUCUUGGAUACUAUAUAGGUGAUACACUCACCUACUAUAGAAAAAUAUUAGUUAUAUCACUGUGAUAAUCCAUUACAGCCUGAUUUAGCAUCCACUUAAAUCUUGUUGCACCCGUGCAACUCUUUUUGGCAGCACUCCUGAUCCAGUCUAAAUUCUAUACAGAAACUAAAGUAGCUUUAAUGGUUGAGAAAUUGAUUUUCCUAUUCUUUAAAGAAAAAUUUCCCCAAUUGAACUAAUGUUGGUGUAACUGUUUAACAAGGUUUCAAACCACCCACUUCCAGAUCUCUAUAUAGAGAGUAUAACAAAAUUUCUAGCUGGGUUCUAAACACAUUCCUUUCACAACCAAUUUUAGUCACAAUUUAGCAAUUAAAGUUCAUAAUUUCUUUAAAAUUUAAGAGAGAGUAUAUUACCCUUUUUGGUUAGAGACUUGGUUGAAUUCUUUACUUCCAUUUCUGAUUUAAGAUUGAAUCAAACCUUCUUAUUGGUGAAAUAUGCUCAUAAAUUUUUUUCAAAUCAAAUUAGAAUCCAUAAUUUCUACUAUCAUUUUUUGAACUUUGGAAAGAUUUUGUGUGAAGCAAUUAUACAUUCUUGAACUACCCUGUAGCCUAGAGACUUGAAAAGAGACGAAUUAAGUUUUUCUAACUUAAAGAAUGGAAAUCUGCCCACCUCUCACAAAUAUAUAGUUUUCCUCUAAAUCAAUGUUGCUUCCCAUUAUUUCCCUCAUGCAUGGUUGCACUAUCUUGGGCAGAACGUCCCCCUAUUUGAUAUAUUCCUUCCACUAUCUUGGGCGUCUCAAUAUUAGUACAUUACUAAGUAAUCUCUCUGUGUUAACAUUUUUCCGUUUGUACUAAUACAUAGCAGCUCGCCAACUUGCUACUCAAAUUUAAUGGAGUAAGAUUAGCCAACAAAAAUUUCCUUUAUUAUAUGUAUAUAUAUAGAGCUAGUCUGGGACAAUAGUGGUAAUGUAAUGCAUAGAGUCUUAUGUUUUAAGAAAUUAAACUCAUUGAAGCAUUUUAUCAAACACUAGGUGUGCAUUAGAUUUAGGGCAGAUUUCAUAGGAGUUUAUAAUUUUAUUAAGCUCUGUUCCCCNNNNNNNNNNNNNNNNNNNNNNNNNNNNNNNNNNNNNNNNNNNNNNNNNNNNNNNNNNNNNNNNNNNNNNNNNNNNNNNNNNNNNNNNNNNNNNNNNNNNUCUUGAACUACUCUGUAGCCUAGAGACUUGAAAAGAGACGAGUUAAGUUUUUCUAACUUAAAGAAUGAAAAUCUGCCCACCUCUCACAAAUAUAUGGUUUUCCUCUAAAUCAAUGUUGCUGCCCAUUAUUUCCCUCAUGCAUGGUUGCACUAACCUGGGUAAAACGUUCCACUAUUUGAUAUAUUCCUUCCACUAUCUUGGGCAUCUCAAUGUUAGUAUAUUACCAAGUAAUCUCUCUGUGUUAACAUUUUUCUGUUUGUACUAAUACAUAGCAGCUCGCCAACUUGCCGCUCAAAUUUAGUGGAGUAAGAUUAGCCAACAAAAAUUUCCUUUAUUAUAUAUAUAUAUAGCUAGUCAGGGACAAUAGUUAUGUUUUAAGAAAUUAAAUUCAUUGAAGCAUUUUAUCAAACACUAGGUGUGCAUUAGAUUUAUGGCAGAUUUCAUAGGAGUUUAUACUUAUAUUAAGCUCUGUUUCCCCCCUUAUUACUGCGCACAACUAGUCUCCUUCUACUCAUUCGUAGCUAUCACAGUCCAAUUACUACUUUAAUCACAGCAGCCCUCAUUGUGAAUAACAUUUAAUUUCUAACUUUGAAUAUAAUAACAUAGUACUAACCUUGUUAUGAUGGUUUGAUGAUCUGAAUUCCACUCUUAUGGUUUUGCUAUACACCCCCUUCUUGCUACCCUACUAGCCGAAACUAAGCCCCAACCUGAAUUACAUCUUGGUUCCUUGCGAAUUUCUUUGUUCUAGCUGAAAUAGUAAAGUAUAAGGUGAAGUUUCUCUGGAAAUUUUGAAGUUUCUAGGAGAGUAAUAGGAAUUAGAGUACAAUGGGGAUAGAGAGUAGAGGAAGAUAACAUGAGAUAGUACUGCAGGCUACAUAGCCUUCCCUUUUACAAUCAACAAUUUGGCUUAUUUUGUAAGGAC
rnacentral:lncRNA from 1 species